UUCAAGGAUGACAAAGGGCAUAAAGCCCGAUUUAACCCAGCUCUUCGAAAGAAGCCGUCUAGGAAGCGGCCUCCUUGAGACAAAUAGUUACUUUUCUGAAUCA
rnacentral:snoRNA from 1 species